rnacentral:lncRNA from 1 species
GGAGAAUAUAACAUCAAGAGUGAACCCUAAUGCAAACUCUGGACUUUUAGUGAUGCCAAUACAUCAUUGUCACCAAUGAGGCAUACACCAAAGGCAAGACUAAUUCUGAAGAUAAUUUGCAUAUAACUUUCUUUAAGUAGUAAAAUAAUUAAAUUGUACAUGGAGGA